UGUACUGUCUCCUUUUUCUAAUCAGUGAAACUAAUCUCCCCGUGAAGAAGCGGGGAUACUACUAUAAGACGAGAAGACCCCAUGGAGCUUUAAACCCAACUACACCCCUAUUUACAACAACUACUUAACCAAUUGGACACUGUAUGCUUGGUUUUAGGUUGGGGCGACCACGGAGUAAAAAAUAACCUCCACGAUAAAUGGGCUUACCCCCUUAUCUAAGAGCCACACCUCUAAGAAUUAAAAUAUUAAUAUAAUAUGAUCCUUUCUUGAUCAACGGACCAAGUUACCCUGGGGAUAACAGCGCAAUCCAUUUCAAGAGCCCCUAUCGACAAAUGGG
rnacentral:rRNA from 1 species